AGUGAACGCUGGCGGUGGGCCUAACACAUGCAAGUCGAACGGCAGCACAGUAAGAGCUUGCUCUUACGGGUGGCGAGUGGCGGACGGGUGAGGAAUACGUCGGAAUCUACUUUUUCGUGGGGGAUAACGUAGGGAAACUUACGCUAAUACCGCAUACGACCUACGGGUGAAAGCAGGGGAUCUUCGGACCUUGCGCGAUUGAAUGAGCCGAUGUCGGAUUAGCUAGUUGGCGGGGUAAAGGCCCACCAAGGCGACGAUCCGUAGCUGGUCUGAGAGGAUGAUCAGCCACACUGGAACUGAGACACGGUCCAGACUCCUACGGGAGGCAGCAGUGGGGAAUAUUGGACAAUGGGCGCAAGCCUGAUCCAGCCAUACCGCGUGGGUGAAGAAGGCCUUCGGGUUGUAAAGCCCUUUUGUUGGGAAAGAAAAGCAGCAGGUUAAUACCCCGCUGUUCUGACGGUACCCAAAGAAUAAGCACCGGCUAACUUCGUG
rnacentral:rRNA from 1 species